CAACAUCAUGUGGCUCUAUUUACCGUUGCUCCUUUCAGCACUUGUAGGCGACACUUUUGGUGAUCUAAUAACAUCUCAUGGUUCUGAAAAACAAGCUCAAGAUGGUAACAGUGUUACUCUCUCCUGCAACUACACUGGUUCUGUUUAUAAUCUACUGUGGUAUCGUCAGUAUCAAAGAUCCAAACCAGAACUCCUUCUGUACAUGACUGAAUCUGGAGAUCCAGUUAAAGAAGAUCCAUCAGCCCGCUGGUUAUCUGCUAAAGUGGACAAAAACAGAAAGCUCAUGGAUCUGGAAAUCAGCCCUGCUAAAGUAUCAGACUCUGCACAGUAUUACUGUGCCCUGAAGCCCACAGGGGUGAUUCUUUUCUUUACCCACCGUACUAUGUGGGAGGAGCUCAGUGUUUGGUAG